rnacentral:rRNA from 1 species
GGCGAACGGGUGAGUAACAUAUCGGAACGUAUCCAAUAAUGGGGGAUAAGUAAUCGAAAGGUGGGCUAAUACCGCAUACGCCCUGCGGGGGAAAGAUAGGGACCUUCGGGCCUGGCGUUAAUGGAGCGGCCGAUAUCUGAUUAGCUAGUUGGUGAGGUAAAGGCUCACCAAGGCGACGAUCAGUAGCUGGUCUGAGAGGACGACCAGCCACACUGGAACUGAGACACGGUCCAGACUCCUACGGGAGGCAGCAGUGGGGAAUUUUGGACAAUGGGCGCAAGCCUGAUCCAGCCAUUCCGCGUGAGUGAAGAAGGCCUUCGGGUUGUAAAUUUUUUUCGCAAGGGAAGAAAACUUAUCCUCUAACAUAGGAUGAGGUGACGGUC